rnacentral:rRNA from 1 species
AUCUACAGCCAUACCAUCCUAAGCAUGCCAGAUCUCAUCUGAUCUCAGAAGCUAAGCAGGGUUGGGUCUGGUCAGUACUUGAAUGGGGGAAUCCAAGGACACCCCAUGAAGUGAGGGCA